rnacentral:rRNA from 1 species
GAAAGCGGGGCUAAUACCGGAUAAUAUCUCUUUUGUCUCGACUUUUGAGAUCAAAGGUGGCCUCUACAUGUAAGCUACUGUUUGAGGAUGAGCCCGCGUACCAUUAGCUUGUUGGUAGGGUAAUGGCCUACCAAGGCUACGAUGGUUAGCUGGUCUGAGAGGAUGAUCAGCCACACUGGAACUGACACACGGUCCAGACUCCUACGGGAGGCAGCAGUGAGGAAUUUUGCGCAAUGGGGGAAACCCUGACGCAGCAACGCCGCGUGAGUGAUGAAAGCUUUCGGGUCGUAAAGCUCUGUCAAGUGGGAAGAAAUUGUUUAAAACCAAUACUUUUAGGCAUUGACGGUACCACUGAAGGAAGCACCGGCUAACUCCGUGCCAGCAGCCGCGGUAAUACGGGGGGUGCUAGCGUUAUUCGGAUUUACUGGGCGUAAAGGGCGCGCAGGCGGUCUUUUAAGUCAGAUGUGAAAGCCCGGGGCUUAACCCCGGAAGUGCAUUUGAAAACUAAAAGACUUG